rnacentral:misc_RNA from 1 species
GAAAUGCGAUAAUUAAUGUGAAUUGCAGAAUUCAGUGAAUCAUCGAGUCUUUGAACGCACAUUGCGCCCCCUGGUAUUCCGGGGGGCAUGCCUGUCCGAGCGUCAUUGCUGCCCUCAAGCACGGCUUGUGUGAUGGGCUUCCGUCCCUGGCAACGGGGACGGGCCCAAAAGGCAGUGGCGGCACCAUGUCUGGUCCUCGAGCGUAUGGGGCUUUGUCACCCGCUCCCGUAGGUCCAGCUGGCAGCUAGCCUCGCAACCAAUCUUUUUAACCAGGUUGACCUCGGAUCAGGUAGGGAUACCCGCUGAACUUAAGC